AAUCAAAUAAUUACUACAAUCCAAACUAACACUCAUAAUAUUACAAUCCAAAGUAACACUCAAAAUAUAAUGUAUAUUAAAAACAAACAAACAAAACAAAAUAUAGUGUACAUGUAAGGACUCAAAUUUAAAUAAACAUUAUAUAUAACAAUAUUUGAACAUAGUUCAAUUAUUUAAUAAAAUCUUCCUUAUCAUCAAAUGCUUCUUUUUUUCACAUUAAUCUUCAAACCAUAUCUCAUGUCUAGGACAAC
rnacentral:lncRNA from 1 species